rnacentral:rRNA from 1 species
GCAUAUCAAUAAGCGGAGGAAAAGAAACCAACAGGGAUUGCCCUAGUAACGGCGAAGUGAAGCGGCAACAGCUCAAAUUUGAAAUCUGGCCUCUUUUGGGGUCCGAGUUGUAAUUUGCAGAGGGCGCUUUGGAGUCGGCAGCGGUCCAAGUUCCUUGGAACAGGACGUCACAGAGGGUGAGAAUCCCGUACGUGGUCGCUAGCCUUCGCCGUGUAAAGCCCCUUCGACGAGUCGAGUUGUUUGGGAAUGCAGCUCUAAAUGGGAGGUAAAUUUCUUCUAAAGCUAAAUACUGGCCAGAGACCGAUAGCGCACAAGUAGAGUGAUCGAAAGAUGAAAAGCACUUUGGAAAGAGAGUCAAAAAGCACGUGAAAUUGUUGAAAGGGAAGCGCUUGCAGCCAGACUUGCCUGUAGUUGCUCAUCCGGGCUUUUGCCCGGUGCACUCUUCUAUAGGCAGGCCAGCAUCAGUUUGGGCGGUUGGAUAAAGGUCUCUGUCAUGUACCUCUCUUCGGGGAGGACUUAUAGGGGAGGCGACAUGCAACCAGCUCAGACUGAGGUCCGCGCAUUUGCUAGGAUGCUGGCGUAAUGGCUGUAAGCGGCCCGUCUUGAAACACGGACCAAGGAGUCUAACAUCUAUGCGAGUGUUUGGGUGUCAAGCCCGAGCGCGCAAUGAAAGUGAACGGAGGUGGGAACCCCUCGGGGCGCACCAUCGACCGAUCCUGAUGUCUUCGGAUGGAUUUGAGUAAGAGCAUAGCUGUUGGGACCCGAAAGAUGGUGAACUAUGCUUGAAUAGGGUGAAGCCAGAGGAAACUCUGGUGGAGGCUCGCAGCGGUUCUGACGUGCAAAUCGAUCGUCAAAUUUGGGCAUAGGGGCGAAAGACUAAUCGAACUAUCUAGUAGCUGGGUUCCUGCCG